AUUGAACGCUGGCGGCAGGCCUAACACAUGCAAGUCGAGCGGAUGAAGGGAGCUUGCUCCUGGAUUCAGCGGCGGACGGGUGAGUAAUGCCUAGGAAUCUGCCUGGCAGUGGGGGAUAACGUCCGGACACGGGCGCUAAUACCGCACACGUCCUGAGGGUGAAAGUGGGGGAUCUUCGGACCUCACGCUAUCUGAUGAGCCUAGGUCGGAUUAGCUAGUUGGUGGGGUAAAGGCCUACCAAGGCGACGAUCCGUAACUGGUCUGAGAGGAUGAUCAGUCACACUGGAACUGAGACACGGUCCAGACUCCUACGGGAGGCAGCAGUGGGGAAUAUUGGGCAAUGGGCGAAAGCCUGAUGCAGCCAUGCCGCGUGUGUGAAGAAGGUCUUCGGAUUGUAAAGCACUUUUAGUUGGGAGGAAGGGCAGUAAGUUAAUACCUUGCUGUUUUGACGUUACCAACAGAAUAAGCACCGGCUAACUUCGUG
rnacentral:rRNA from 1 species